rnacentral:tRNA from 1 species
GUGGAGGUAGCAAAGCCUGGUCAAAUGCGCAGGACUUAAGAUCCUGUCGGUUAGUCCGUUCGCAGGUUCAAAUCCUGUCCUCCACA